rnacentral:rRNA from 1 species
CCUACGGGAGGCAGCAGUGAGGAAUAUUGCGCAAUGGAGGCAACUCUGACGCAGCCAUGCCGCGUGCAGGAAGACGGCCCUACGGGUUGUAAAUCUGCUUUUAUCCGGGAAGAAACCCCAGGACGUGUCCUGGGUUGACGGUACCGGAGGAAUAAGCACCGGCUAACUCCGUGC